GAUGAACGCUGGCGGCGUGCCUAAUACAUGCAAGUCGAGCGAACGGACGAGAAGCUUGCUUUUCUGAUGUUAGCGGCGGACGGGUGAGUAACACGUGGAUAACCUACCUAUAAGACUGGGAUAACUUCGGGAAACCGGAGCUAAUACCGGAUAAUAUUUUGAACCGCAUGGUUCAAAAGUGAAAGACGGUCUUGCUGUCACUUAUAGAUGGAUCCGCGCUGCAUUAGCUAGUUGGUAAGGUAACGGCUUACCAAGGCAACGAUGCAUAGCCGACCUGAGAGGGUGAUCGGCCACACUGGAACUGAGACACGGUCCAAACUCCUACGGGAGGCAACAGUAGGGAAUCUUCCGCAAUGGGCGAAAGCCUGACGGAGCAACGCCGCGUGAGUGAUGAAGGUCUUCGGAUCGUAAAACUCUGUUAUUAGGGAAGAACAUAUGUGUAAGUAACUGUGCACAUCUUGACGGUACCUAAUCAGAAAGCCACGGCUAACUACGUG
rnacentral:rRNA from 1 species